UACGUAGGUGGCAAGCGUUGUCCGGAAUUAUUGGGCGUAAAGCGCGCGCAGGCGGAUCUGCCAGUCUGUCUUAAAAGUUCGGGGCUUAACCCCGUGAUGGGAUGGAAACUACAGAUCUAGAGUAUCGGAGAGGAAAGUGGAAUUCCUAGUGUAGCGGUGAAAUGCGUAGAUAUUAGGAAGAACACCAGUGGCGAAGGCGACUUUCUGGACGAAAACUGACGCUGAGGCGCGAAAGCCAGAGGAGCGAACGGGAUUAGAUACCCCGGUAGUCCUGGCCGUAAACGAUGGGUACUAGGUGUAGGAGGUAUCGACCCCUUCUGUGCCGCAGUUAACGCAAUAAGUACCCCGCCUGGGGAGUACGACCGCAAGGUUGAA
rnacentral:rRNA from 1 species